AUUGAACGCUGGCGGCAUGCCUUACACAUGCCAGUCGAACGGUAACGGGCCUUCGGGUGCCGACGAGUGGCGAACGGGUGAGUAAUACAUCGGAACGUGCCCGAUCGUGGGGGAUAACGAGGCGAAAGCUUUGCUAAUACCGCAUACGAUCUGCGGAUGAAAGCAGGGGACCGCAAGGCCUUGCGCGGACGGAGCGGCCGAUGGCAGAUUAGGUAGUUGGUGGGAUAAAAGCUUACCAAGCCGACGAUCUGUAGCUGGUCUGAGAGGAUGAUCAGCCACACUGGGACUGAGACACGGCCCAGACUCCUACGGGAGGCAGCAGUGGGGAAUUUUGGACAAUGGGCGCAAGCCUGAUCCAGCCAUGCCGCGUGCAGGAUGAAGGCCUUCGGGUUGUAAACUGCUUUUGUACGGAACGAAAAGCCUUCUUUUAAUACAGGAGGGUCAUGACGGUACCGUAAGAAUAAGCACCGGCUAACUACGUG
rnacentral:rRNA from 1 species